AUGGGCCUCUUUGGCUCUUUGGUUCAGAUAAAAUUCGUAAAAACAUUGGAAGAUUAUAUUCCUUAGAUUUUUUUUUCUAUAGAACUAAUUUUAAUUUGCAUGAUUCGGAACCACGUUUUUUUUUUCUUAUGCAUCAUUUUGCAUGAAAUUUUGAAGUAUAAUUUGUUAGAAUUUUGGCUAAUACGGCGCACACGCACGCACGCACGCACUCUUCUUCCUCCGUCGCACCCAGGCCAGAGCGGGUUUUCGAAUAGAACAAAAAUCAUAUUUGGAGUCAUCAUACCUAGAGUCCUCUCGCCCUCAACACCCUAUAUUGGUCGCAUAACUAUAUCUUCACAAGAUCGACGAGAGGCAUGCCCCUAGACAUAUCAUCGACAGUUCCUAUGACAACUAUGACAAGGACCAAAUCCUUAAGGGAGUUCCUAUGUGCAACCAAACAACUCCAUUUUCCUGAUUUGUCAUGACACGACAUCAGAAUUUUUAUGUUUUUUGCUAUCCGUGCAUUUUUUUUUGCAAUCACUCCAAUCAAGGACGCCCCAACUUCAAAGAGAUAGAAUCUUCAUUAGGAGGUCAUUUUUUUUGGUAUAUCAUC
rnacentral:lncRNA from 1 species